UUAACACAUGCAAGUCGAACGGGGUUUAGCGAGAAGUUUACUUUUUGUUAAACCUAGUGGCGGACGGGUGAGUAACGCGUGGAUAACCUACCCCCUAGUCUGGGAUAACGCCGGGAAACCGGUGCUAAUACCGGAUAAGUUCAUCUGUCUGCAUAGACAGAUGAAGAAAGGUGCAAACCGCUACAGGAUGGGUCCGCGUCCCAUUAGCUAGUUGGUAGGGUAACAGCCUACCAAGGCAACGAUGGGUAGCCGGCCUGAGAGGGCGACCGACCACACUGGAACUGAGACACGGUCCAGACUCCUACGGGAGGCAGCAGUGGGGAAUCUUCCGCAAUGGGCGCAAGCCUGACGGAGCAACGCCGCGUGAGUGAAGAAGGUUUUCGGAUUGUAAAACUCUGUCCGCAGGGAAGAAACAAAUGACGGUACCUGUGGAGGAAGCCCCGGCUAACUACGUGCCAGCAGCCGCGGUAAAACGUAGGGGGCAAGCGUUGUCCGGAAUUACUGGGCGUAAAGGGCGUGUAGGCGGCCCUGCAAGUCAGUCGUGAAAUCCAUCGGCUCAACUGAUGGCUGUCGAUUGAAACUGUAGAGCUUGAGUACAGUAGAGGGGAGUGGAAUUCCCAGUGUAGCGGUGAAAUGCGUAGAUAUUGGGAGGAACACCAGUGGCGAAAGCGGCUCCCUGGCCUGUAACUGACGCUGANGCGCGAAAGCGUGGGUAGCAAACAGGAUUAGAUACCCUGG
rnacentral:rRNA from 1 species